CAAAGGAUAGUUUAAAAAAAAUAUUAAUUUUGGAGAUUAAUCAUAAAUAGUUUCUUAUUUUUCUUUGA
rnacentral:tRNA from 1 species